ensembl:lncRNA
UGUUUUUCCUUAGGCGUGGUUGUCUUGCGGCCUCUGACAUCCUCAUGGAUUUGCCCUGCUGCUUUCUACCCGGCUGUCUGUUCCCAAGGUGUUGCAUGCUGACGGCAAACCUGACCCAACGAGGCAGACUUCAUGCAAAGUCUCCAUGAAAUUCCAGUCUCCCGGCAGCUCUAUGCCACCCAAAACCAUGGGAGAGGCCCAGCUUGUUCCCAGCACUUCCUUCUGCUGGUUCCUCGUGCUGUUUCCUUGCUCCACUUGGAAUUUUCAAAGAUAUCUAAGUAGAUAAUGAUGUCCGGAAAAUGCUGUUUCUCAUCCAUCCAUAUUGAUUGAGUGGUUUUCAAUUGGAAAAUAAAAACAACCUCCCUACUCACCCCUCAUCCUGUUCUUUUCUGAACUUAGGAGAAUGACUUUUCCUUUUCUUUUUUUUGAUACAGAGUCUCACUCUAUCACCCAGACUGGAGUGCAGUGGCACGAUCUCACUGCAGCCUCUGCCGUCUGGGCUCAAGUGAUUCCCCUGCCUCAGCCUCCUGAGUAGCUGGGAUUACAGGCAUGCGCUGCCACGCCUGGCUAAUUUUUGCAUUUUUAGUAGAGAUGGGGUUUCACCAUGUUGACCAGGCUGGUCUCGAGCUCCUGACCUCAGGUGAUCCACCUGCCUCAGCCUCCCAAACACUUUAGGAGGCCGAGGCAGGAGAAUCACUUGAAGCAGGGGUUCAAAACCAGCCUGGGCAACAUAGCAAGACCCUGUUUCUAAAAAAAUACAAAAAUUGGCUGGCAUGGUGGUGUGUGCCUGUAGUCCCAGCUAGUCAGGAGGCUGAGUUGGGAGGAUUGCUUGAGCCCAGGAGGUUGAGGCUGCAGUGGGCUACGAUUGCACCGCUGAACUGCAGCCUGGAUGACAGAGUGAGACCCUGUCUCUAAGAAAAAGGCAAGAUGCAAAUGGUGGUUCAUGUAACGCUCUCAAACCUGAAUGUGCUCUCAAAUGAGUCUGAUGCAGUAAGUCCUGAGCAGGACCUGGGAAAUUCCAUUUCUGGCUGCACUCCAGGCGAAGUGUUGCUGCUUGACCUUUUGAAUGGCAAGUUCCUGUAGAUCUGGUGCGUUGUCCAACAUCAUACCCCUAGCCGCCUGUUGCUAAUUACAUUCAAAUUUAAAGGAUUUAAAAUAAAAUAGGAAUAAGAAUUCACUUCCAUAUAUACACCUAGUAUGUACCCACAAAAAUUAAAAUUAGAAAUUAAAGAAUAGAAUGACUUCCUUGGUCUCACUAGCUGCAUUUCAGUGCUCAGUAGUCACAAAUGGCUAGAGGCUAACACUUUGGCAGCCCAGGAUAGAACAUGUCCAUUAUUACAGAAAAUUAUAUGAGACUUUGCUAAUGUAGAGCUCUGGCUAUCACCCAGAAACAUUCAAUGACAAGGGAGUAAAAGUAAUUUUAAUAUUUGGAAUUGCUCCUUUUUGCUUAUAAGGUUCUGAUCCAUGCAAAUUUCUGUGCAACUGGUAUAACACUCUUCACAAUCAGGGCACAAAUAUACUUCCUUCAUUAUGUGCAGCUCCGUGGAUAUUCUUUAAAGCCCAGAAAUAAAAGAAACCUUAAAUUAAAUAAUUCCUAAAAUUGCCUUAUUUCUGAACACAUUUGUACAUGUAUGCCCAUGUUCUAUACGCAUGAUAGUUAUAAAAGUCUACAAAUAUUUAUGUACACAUACUCACAUGUUUGCAUCCUUUCUCACAAUUAUUUUUACAGUCUUUCGAUGAGCAAAGGUAAAAAAGUGUAGGGCUUUCCAACAGAGGAACUAUGACAGUUGAGUAGUCCGGUGACAAUUUGGCCAAUCACAUUAGACAGUAAGAAAUGCACGUUACCACCAGAGUACGCUGUCAUUUUAGAUGCACAAGGUUGAUCCCUUUCAGAAUCCUGGAGUAAUGCUCACCAAUAUAAAAAAGGCACCACAGGAUUUUAUUGGCUCAACACAAUCGUAGUUUAUUUUUGCUACUUUACUAGCCCUUUGCAGGUGUUCUUGCUUGGGUAGAUUUUCUCCAAGUGGUGAGGAGACACUCAGGUUUAUUGCCAAAUUGGUACUCUGCCAUCUCCAACACCUGCCUUGCAAGGUAUCCCUGUUUUUGUUUGCUGAUUUUUUUGGCCACUGUUUCAGUUUUACCACCUCCAAGGAAAAAGCUCAUGGAAGCUCACUCGUGGGAGAUUUCCAUGGGACACAUGCUUAUACUCACAUUUCCUUGGCUAGAACUCAACCAGACACUGAAUUCCAGGAGCAGAUGGAAAAUGUGGUCAAGCUCUAAAGAGGGAAAAACUGGUUUGGUAUCAGUGAGCAGUCUCUAAUUAUGGCUAAAUCUAUCUGCUAAUGUACAUGUCAAACAAUGAGAACAUUCACCCACUGCUGCUGGGACCAUAAAUCAGUACAACCAUGUUGGAGAUCCCUUUGGCACCAACCUUUAAAUCAGAACACGACCCACCAAUUCCCCUCGCUGGUAUGUACUUUAGAGGAACUCUUGCAUACUCUUGUACAUAGAUAAGCAUGCCCUUAGCAGCAAUGUUCGUAACAGUAAAACCCUGCAACAACUCAGAUGUUCGCUGUCAGGGGGAUGGAUCUAUAACGUGUGAAAUACUUACAUAAUGAAAGACUGUACAAAGGCAAAAUGAAUUAACUAAAUCUGUGUGCAGAGUCAUGGCUGAAUCUCAGAAAUUCCAAAUUGUUGGAAGGGAAAAAAAAAAUACAGACUAUGCAGUGUGCUCUCAAUGAAUAUGAUUCAAAUGCUAGCCUAAGUAAACCAUAAUAUAUUGAUUAGGAAAACAGAGCUCUUAGGCAAAAUUGUUACGUUUUUAUUACACAAAAAAUUCAGGAAAAUAUUAAACUUUGACGGUGGGAUUUUCAAGGCAGUAUAGAAGCAAGCCUUGAAAACAACAAUGAAUGAGAAAUAUUCUCCAUUUUUUAUGUGGGUUGUUGGAUCCAUGCUUAUUUUAUUGGCUUGCUUCUUAACAUGCUUUGCAUAUUCAUCCUUUCCCACCAAUGCAUGUUUUCCUUUAAAGAUACCCAACACUUCACACACAAAGCAAAUUAGUUUUAGGUGCAGUGAAUCCUUCCUGCACAGUUUCCUAUCUCCAACAAUUCUUUAGCCCUGAACAGAUCUCGCUGAUGUAAGAGUGGAUUCUCUACCACUGCUCUAUGCUGUCACCACCGUUUGCUGGUUUUACGCCUCAGAGGGUGGAGACCUCAUUCAAACUAGGCCAGUAAGAUGGACCCUGGAAGGAAGAGGCUAUCGGAAUUUUUUUCAGACGAAUUGCUUUCAAUCCCAAUUUGAUCCCUCUCCUCUCACUGCUAUUUUAUUAAAAGUCCUGUCUCGUUGGUACUCUCUUAAGACUAAGAAAACAUGGAUGAAGCCAGAGGACAUCAUGCCAGGUGAAAUAAGCCAGGCACAGAAACACAGCCUAUGAUCUCACUUCUAUGUGGAAUCUAAACAAAUUGAACUAACGGAAACAGACAGUAGAACAGUGGUUCCCAGGGGCCUCGGCGUUGGAGAUUGGGAAGAUGUUGAUCAAAGGGUACAAAGUUUUAGUUAGAAAGGAGGAAUAAGUCUUAGGGA